UGAUUUAGUAUGGUGAUAUUUGAGAUGAC
rnacentral:piRNA from 1 species